AGCACUGGUGUGCUUGUGCCGACGAUUACACCUCCUCGGCAGUGUAUUCCUAGCUUCGAUUCAUUAGCCCUGUAGAGGCUCUAUGGUUGAUCUGUGGCAGUAGACAGUGCCACUGUACGGUGCCAGCAAUAUCUUCGGGCAGUGGGUCAUCCAAGGUAGUCGAUAGAUGAUACCAGUACACCGGAGGAGGUUCCCGACUGCCGGU